rnacentral:rRNA from 1 species
ACGGACGCUGGCGGCGUGCUUAACCCAUGCCAGUCGCACGGAAAGGCCCCAGCUUGCUGGGGUACUCGAGUGGCGAACGGGUGAGUAACACGUGGGUGAUCUGCCCUGCACUCUGGGAUAAGCCUGGGAAACUGGGUCUAAUACCGGAUAGGACCGUGCUUUAGUGUGUGCGGUGGAAAGUUUUUCGGUGCAGGAUGAGCCCGCGGCCUAUCAGCUUGUUGGUGGGGUAAUGGCCUACCAAGGCGGCGACGGGUAGCCGGCCUGAGAGGGUGUACGGCCACAUUGGGACUGAGACACGGCCCAGACUCCUACGGGAGGCAGCAGUGGGGAAUAUUGCACAAUGGGCGCAAGCCUGAUGCAGCGACGCCGCGUGGGGGAUGACGGCCUUCGGGUUGUAAACCCCUUUCGGCAGGGACGAAGCUUUUGUGACGGUACCUGCAUAAGAAGCACCGGCUAACUACGUG